rnacentral:tRNA from 1 species
CAUAUCAUAGUAUAAUAUUAGUAUAUUUGUUUUAGGAACAGAAGGAUUUUUGGUAUAU